GUCCCCCGGAGGAAUGUCUUAAGUCAGGAGCUGAUUAGUGGUUGAAGGCAGCUGAUCUGUUUCGAAUCCUGUGUGUCCGGAGAGGCCAACGCUUUCAUUAGCCAGCAGGAAUGGGCUGGGGCGCGUUUGUAGUUGGGAAUCCUGAGCCCGGGCUGUUGCUUGGAGGACUCGGGAGCAGCAGUGGAUUUCGGCGUUACCAGGAGAGCUAUGUAUAGGAAUGCCGCUAUGGAAAGACAUCCAGGACACCUUGUUAAGUGAAAAAAGGUUCAGUAUCUGAACACUUUUGCUAAAGGUCUCUGGAAAGCUCCCUGUGUUAAUUCUCGAUGAGACUACGUCUGUGCCGGCCGCUUCCUGAGCCUCCUUCCAUGUGCAUAGGCCUGCUGCAUGCUGGAGACCUGCGGCACAGCUGCCAAGUGCCCCGUGUGGUUCUGUGAUCUUGGGACAGUCACUUCCUCUCUGUGGUUGUCAGUCUUCUCAUCCCUAAGAUGGAAUAAAAAGGCCUACCUCAUUGGGCUCGUGUGGGUGAGGAGAACUGAAGAGUCUGAGAGCGCGGCACGAGCCAGAGGCUACGGAAAACACUGCCCUCCUACACUCCACCUUGGAGAGACCCAGAAAAGAACAAGCUUCAUUUGUAAAAAAGGAAAACAACUCAGGCAAUGGGGGUGGCUUAAAGGCACUCUACAGUGUGCAGAUGCCUUCCACUUCUUCCAUCUGCCCUGUCUCUCCAAGAACCCCUAUGGCCCCGGUCUCAGAACAGAGCUGAGUGCAGAAAUGAAAAUCUAUGGCUCUGUGUUCCAAAACGAUGAAGAAUUUCAAGAUGGUGGCAGUGGUAAAAUCUUUCUCCAGGAAAAAUCUGUCCUUGGCCCAAUGUGUAAACACUUGCUGAGGAACUUGGAAUAACUUGCAGUGUCUUGCAGUAUUGUGAAACCAGCAACUUGUUCACAAUUCUUCUGAAUUUCUUGGGAAAUUUGAAGUGGAGUACCUGUACCAACAUGAAAUGACACGAAUUUAAGUGACGCUCAACAACGAAAAGCAAAAAGAACCAAAGAGGAAGCAACUGAAACAACAUCUGGAUGUAUUUAAAAAUAUACAAUGCCUCCAAAAUCAGGUGUCAUUAAUGAAAAUUCUGAAGAAAUGCCACCGGACAUAGCCAACGCACCUACGCUGUUGUUAUUCAUUUCCUGCUUUUCACAGAAAACAAUUUUGUUGCAUGGAAGAUCGUGAACUUCAAAGGGCAGAGGGGAAACUGUCCCUUGGCCUCUACCCCUCCAAGGCCCCACUUUUUUGUCAACACUCCUUGGACGCAGCAGAAGUAUGAACAUAAUAUGGUCCUGAAUGAGGCUGAGUCUUUGGGCGCAGAAGACCCGGGUUAAUAAAAAUAGGAAGGUAAGAAAAGAAAAGAAAAAUCAAGACACAUCAUAGGACUAAAUUCCUAUUAUUUAUCCACUCAGGAUUGACCACCCCUUUGGGCCAGAUAGUUGUACCCCCAUGUACCAGGUGGGCACAUGAAGACACAAGAAGUGCUGUGAUGGUUCAUUUUGCACGUCACCUUGCGUGGAGUAUGCCAACUCAUUGUUUGGUCAAACACUAGUCUGGACAUGGUGGUAAAGGUAUUUUUUAGAUGAGAUUAACACUUAAAUCAGUAAAGCAGGUUACCCACCAUACUACGGGUGGGCCCUGUCCAAUCAGUUGAAGGCAUUAAGAACAAAGAUUGAGGUUUCCUAAAGAAGAUGGAAUUCUCCUUGAGACUACAACAUAGAAACCCUAUCUGAGUUUCCAGCCUGUUGCCCUGUGGAAUUCAAACUCAGGACUCCGGUCUAUGACAUUAACCCUCACUUAACUUUUCAGCCUGCCAGCCUGCCCUAUGGAUUUCGGACUUGCCAGCCACACAAUUCCUUAAAAUAAAUCUCUCCGUCUCUGUC
ensembl:lncRNA DRAIC downregulated RNA in cancer, inhibitor of cell invasion and migration